UGACCGGAUGAGGUCAAAAGCUUUGAAGUCUGCCAUUUUCUCUUCUUUUCUGUCCCCUGCCCGCCCCGAACCGAAACCACCUUUGAAGUCACAAGCUUUGAAGUCCAUGUCUUUUUCAUUUUUCCCUUUUUCCGUCCUCCCGCUGCCCACCUGAACCGGGAACCAGGUUUGAAGUCACAACCUUUGAAAUCUUUAUGUCUUUUUUCCCUUUCCCUGCCGCCGCC
rnacentral:lncRNA from 1 species